ensembl:lincRNA
AUGGCUGUUCAAAGAUGUGUGGUGCGAAUCCGUUCAGAUUUGAAAGCAGAGGCUCUGGCAUCAGCAAUAGCAUCAACCAAGGUCAUGAAAGCUCAGCAGGUGGUGAAGAGCGAAAGUGGGGAAGAGAUGCUGGUCCCAUUCCAAGAUGCCCCUGUGGAAGUGGAAGAGAACACAGAGCUGCCUGACUACCUGCCUGAGGACGAGAGCCCCACAAAGGAACAGGACAAGGCAGUGUCCAGGGUCGGCUCACACCCUGAGGGUGGAGCCAGCUGGUUAAGCACAGCUGCAAACUUUUUAUCCAGAUCGUUUUACUGGUGACUUCAGCUUCAGUUUGGGGCUCAAGGACUGUGCAAACCAACAGGGGGCCAGCUUUCCAUUGUGGUGAACUGUCAAGUGCAAUUUGCAAUAGGUUAUCAUGGAAAGUUUCUAGAUUACAUGACUGCAUAUGCUGCAUUUUACAUUUGACUGGACAUUUCCCCCACCGAAUGGUAAACAGGACAGAGCUGCAGGUGGAAUUGGUUUAUGAAGGUAUUUUGGUAUUGUUUUCCUUUGCUUAAUUGCCUCACUGUUUUCUGAAAAACAUGGGUCCAUUGUUAAAACCAAAUGUAUGUGCAGCUUUACAUUCUGUUUUACAUGAAGCAUGUGACUCGUUUUCUUCUCAAGCCUCAGGAGCUUUCUGAAGAGAAGUUUUGCAUAGCUCAAGUUGUGCAUGAAUUUUUAGCAGCUUUUCUUCAUGAACGAUACAUGACAUGUGCUUUGGUACCUUCUCUGAAAGUUGAAAACAUACCUAGUUAGCCCCCUUCUGUGCCUUUUUUAUUUUGCCAACCAUGUUUAUAGAAAGGACAUUAUUAAUGGCAUUUUGCAAAUGGAAUUAUAUUCAUUUGGAUAUAGCAGUACCUAAAAAAUGCUCUACAAAAAACUGAACAAUCUUACUUGCUAUAAUUUUAAUAAACUUACUGUAAGCCAGUUAAGACAACAGGGAUAUGAACAGCAGCAAAGUGCUCUUGGGAGAGUUUGAAUGUGACCAAGUGUGGCUUGGCUCAUGAGAAUUAAGCCCAUUGUGAUCUUUUGAGCAGACAUACCCUGUGGUGACUGUGUCCUGCCAGAGGAGAGUAAUAGGUUUGUUUUUUUUGUUUUUGUUUUAUUUCAAGAGAGGGUUUCUCUGUGUAGCUCUGGCUAUCAUGGAACUCACUCUGUAGACCAGGCUGGCCAUGAAUUCAGAGAUCCACAUGCCUCUGCCUCCCAGGUGCUGGGAUUAAAGGUGUGCACCACAACCUGACAAGAAAAGUAAUAAUGACUAGUUUAAAGAACUGACAAACUUGAAAACAAAGUUGGAUUCCUGCAGUGCUGCUUGGUCAGUCUGGCUUCAGACAUAAACUGUCUAUCUAGUACAUGCCCAUUCCAGAGAUGUUUCUUUUUAUUGCCUUUUUGUUGUUUUUAAGAAAAUACUGCAGUCAAAUUGAAUAAAACAAGACCCCAAAAUUGUUGCUUAUAGAGAAAGAAAGGCAGCACUGGGCACUUAGUCUUAUUUUCAUGUCUAGUCAGAAAAAAAUAAAUGACUUCAGUGAAGGUGAGAUACAUAAAUACAGACACAUGUUUCUGCUUUUUUGUGUUUUGUUUUUUUAAGGACUGAAUUACCUGUAUGUGAUGCUUUCUUAAGAUCCUAAAAUAUUUGACAACUAAUAUUUUCUUUUUAAAAAUCCAGCUAAAUCUAUUUUCAUGUCAACAUCACUAAAAGGAAGAAACUGCAGUGCACCUGUGUCACCAUGCAGAGCUGCUGUUUUGCUACGUGGAGAAUGUAAAGUGAAAUCAGACUCUCAAGGGUUUCCUUGCAUUCUUGUUGUUUCUCUUCUAGAGAAAAUUGAAAUCAUCCAGUGUUACCAGGGGAAAAAUCAUCAUAAAAUAUUAAGCCAUGAGAGCUUUUGAGUUCAUUAACAUUGUGGCUUUCUCUUUAGAAAUCCAGCUUCAAUAGCUAUAGAAAGGAGGAGGUGGUGGUGGUGUUUUAUUUUCAGCACAUCUGAUUCUGGCAGCAAGCAGUAGUAUGUGUUAGCAGUGUGGUACACAUUUGUGUCUAAGAUCAGACAAGUAGCAAAACAGCAGCUCUACAUGGUGAUGAAGGUGCACUGUAGUUUCUUCCUGUUUUUAGUGAUGCUGAUGUGAAACUAGAUGUAGCUCAGUUUCUAAAAAGAAAGCCACAAUUUUAAUGAACUCAGAAGCUCAUUUCAGCUUACUGAAUGAGGGUGUUGAAAGUAUGUAGAUCAUUUUUCCACGUGUCUGAUCUCUGACUCAAGUGGUAGGCACAAACAGAAAGCAGAAAUUUUCAGGGCACAUAGCUAAGACAUAAUACUACUUGCUGCCAGAAUCAGAUGUGUUGAAAAUAAAACAACAAAACCACCUCCUUUCUAUAGCCAUUAAAGCAAAGUUUACUUUCUAUUUUAACACAUUUUAAUUUUAUUUUGCAUUGUCACACAUUUAUUUAAAAACUAUAGCCCUUUGGUAGUGAUGGUCAAGACAGUUGAUAUUUCGAACUGAUGUUUGUGUGUAUCUAGAUGUUCCUUUAUUCCAGGACUCUCUGAGUCAAGGCGACUAUAAUGGCAGUUUUUGAAAUAUAUUGUAAAAUAAUAAAAUAACAAUGAAAAUUGAGUGGAUAUUGUAUUUUUAAAAUAU